rnacentral:rRNA from 1 species
GGAGACAGUUAUGAGGCGUGAUUAAAAGAGCGAAGUGUAAACACCUUCGUGUAACGCAAUUGGAGGGCAAGUUUUGGUGCCAGCAGCCGCGGUAAUUCCAACUCCAAGAGUGCCCAUGGUGGAUGCUGCAGUUAAAAAGUCCGUAGUCGUAGAUGCAAUUAAAGGGUGCGGAUCAAGCGCACUGAGUUUGUUGAGUUGUAGCGGAGCGGAUAGGGAGCAUGGUAUAGGUUGGCGAAGAAUGAAAUCUCAAGACCCAACCUGGACCAACUGAGGCGAAAGCGGUGCUCUUAUACGCAUCCGAGGAUCAAGGACGAAGGCUGGAGGAUCGAAAGUGAUUAGAUACCGCUGUAGUUCCAGCAGUAAACUAUGCUGACAUUCUCUGUCCAGCGGACGGGGAAGGGAGAAAUCUUAGUUUUCGGGCUCUGGGGAUAGUACGCUUGCAAGAGUGAAACUUAAAGCGAAAUUGACGGAAGGACACUACCAGGAGUGGAUUGUACUGCUUAAUUUAACUCAACGCGGGAAAACUUACCAGGGUCAAGUUCUCCGUAGAUCGAGUACGUGAGGGGAACGAGAGUGGUGCAUGGCCGUUGGAAAUUGAUGGGAUGACUUUUAGCUUAAAUGCUGAAACCAGUGAGAUCUUCUAGACAGGUGCCAUUCCGCACAGGAGGGCGAAGGCGAUAACAGGUCCGUGAUGCCCUUAGAUAUCCUGGGCUGCAAGUGCAAUACAAUAUCCAUGUCGAUCAAGAAAGGUGAUUAUGGAUGAGCAGGAUUAGCUC